CUCUAAUUGGUUCCUGCUGAGGUCAAGAGUCUGUAGUGAACAAGAUUCCUGGAACGUGUCAGGUAUAUUGCCAUUGAACCUAUUGCCUCUUAGAUUCAGAACAGAAAGUAUACUGACAUUCUCCAUUAAACAGUUCGGAAUUGAGCCGUCCAGAUUGUUGUUUGACAAAUCAAGGACUUGAAGAAAUUCAGCAGUACAAAUGCUUGUCGGGAUUUUUCCUGUGAGGCUGUUGUUUGAUAAUGAAAAGAAUAAGGCAAGGGAAAGGUAAUUGCUAAUUUCAGCUGGAAUGGAACCGUUGAGAAAGUUGUGGGAGUAAUCCACAUAUGUCAUUGGUAGUGCUGAUAAUGGAAUAAUAGGAACAUCACCUUGAAGCUGGUUGUCAUGCAUGUCUAAGACAUUUAGACUAGGAAGAGAAAGAGGUACCUCGAGACCCACAAGAUGGUUGUGUGAGAGAUUUAGAUGAGCUCUGUGAGAGAUUUAGAUGAGCUAGAGAAGUUGAUUCCAGAAUCCAGCGAGGUACUAUCCCCUUGAUAUUGUUGUCCGAAAGGUCUAGAUGGGCUAACGUUGAUUGGUUCCCCAACUCAGGAAAUAUUCUCAUAUUGCUCGAUGCUAAUUUCAAGGAUCUGAACUGAGG
rnacentral:lncRNA from 1 species